CGGCGGGCGCUGGCUGUCCCCCAGCCUGGCCCUGCCUGGUGGCUUUUGCUCCUCGGAUUCCUUGACGUUGCCAAGGAAACGCUGGGAUUCAGCUCGGAUCUGAUUGAACCGGGCGCAGACGUCACGCAGGGACACGGGGGACAGGGACAGCGUGCUCGGGGCGGGGACUCUGCUGUCCUGCAGCCCCUUCCCCACCGGACAGGGAUGUGCUGGAAUUCCGCACCUGUCCCACCUUCCCAGUGGGAGAUGGGCACGAAGCGGCUGCAGGAGGAGGCGCUGCAGGAGCAGAUGGAAGCGUGGAGAGCUCCUGGAGCAGCCCCAGCUGCAGGAAUGCCAUCCCACAGGAGCCACUGCCAGGUCUCUGGAAGAGCUGAGCCCUUGGGGACAUCCCUGGUCACUGUCACCACCUCCCAUCAGACCCUGAGCUCUCCACCCACAGCACGGCCGCCAGCACUUCCCAUCCUGAUGGAAACCCAGUCCAGGCUCCCAUCCCAGCACUGCCCUUUGGAAAACCAUCCUGACCAGAGCCAUCCUGUGGGAUUUGCUCCAGCCCCUUCCUCCUCUUCUUCCUCCCAGGCUCAGCCUUGCUAAUAAACCUCACUCAUCCACCAGCCAAUCUUUUUUCCAGCUGCUCCUGUGGGAUCCCUCAGCACAGCCCCAUCCAAACUUUUCCAAGAAAUGGAACACAUUUGGACUCAUUCUUUAAUUUCGAGCUGGUGCAGCAGCAAUAAUGCUGCACCUGCAGCAAAUUCCAGCCAGGACAGAACUUUGCUAACCUGCCUGAGCCAGGAGAAGCUGAAUUCCAGGACCUGGAGUUCCUCCCAAAUUCCCAGCUCACGUGCACCCAAUUAUACCCCUUGUAGGGCAAUUAAAAUUAUACAAGCAGCUGCCUAUCAAAGCUGAAGCAGUUAAUUAGAAUGAAACACUUUUAGGGGAAAUAAGCCUUGCCUUAUUCCCAAAUUCUUGGAGGAGCAUGUGUGUGGGAGCUGGGAUGCUGCAGGUUGCCCAGGACUGGCAGGGCCUAGGGGUGGCAGCUUUGGCAACCUUAUUUCCAAAAAACAAAAGCUGAUUUUAGGACCUACCUGCUCCAGACAUCCAGAGUUUUCAGUGUUUCCCCUCCAGGCUCAAGCACAGGGGACAAGAAGAUCCUCUUGUCCCACUGCUGGGGGUUUGCAGCCCUGUUUUUGCCUGGGAACAUUCCCAUCCCACCUCGAUGGUUUUGAGGGAGCAAACAGCUCCCAAAAUCCCUCUGCUUCUUUCCCUGGCAAGGCAACAUUCCCAGCCACCCCCACUGUGCUCAUUUAGCACCUUCCUCCUCCUCCUCCUCCUCCUCCUCCUCCUGCUUUCCCACCUGUGUGGGGGCACCUGCAGGGCUGCUCCCUCCUUCUCCAGAGCUUUUCCCAAAGCAUCCAUUUUCCCCAUCAAUGUUUUGCCCCUCAUUCCUGUUUCUGUGCCAUAUUUGGGGCCAGCACUGCCUCCCAGCCCUGGGGUUUUCCUUCCCACUCCUGUCACUGUCCUGUCACCGGGAUCCAUCCCCACUUCGGGGUCACCUGUGACCCUUAGAGCCCCACUUUUCAAACCCCCAUAGCACCUGGAUCUGUCUGCAGGGAUCCAAGGGGGGGGUCACCACCUCCCUGAAUCCCAUCCCAGAGGUGCUCCCAGCACAUCCCACCCCGCUGGACCACUCUGCCCCUGCUCGGGGCUGGGAGAACUGGGUCAGCCUGUAACCAUGGAGAUGCUGAGGGAGAUGCUGAAGCAGCGCCAGCACAGCCCCGGCUCUCCAGAACCCUGGAAAGAUUCCCCCGCCCUGGCACCUCCGGAUCCGGCCGGGAUGGGGCUGGGGAGCUGAGCUCAGCCUCCUCCUCCUCCUCCUCCCCGGUGCAGCGCUGGUAAGACGCCUCCAUCUCCUUUUUUAUUUUAAUUUAUUUUUUUGGGGGGUGCCACCAGCGGGGAGGGGCCGAGCUCGGCAUCCAAACGCAACAGGGAUCUCGGGAUUUUUUUUUUUGUGCUCAUCCAUGGAGGAUGCUCCGGCCAUGACACGGCUGGAGCUCCGUGCAUCGCUGGGGAUGCGGGUUUGGCUCGCCGGGGAAGUUCCCGGGGCUCGUUGUUUCCCGCAGGGACGGGCGGUGAGCGCUGCGGGGCUCCCCCCCCCCCCCCCCCCCCCCCCCCCCCCCCCCCCCCCCCCCCCCCCCC
ensembl:lncRNA